rnacentral:rRNA from 1 species
CGACUUGGAGGUUGUGCCCUUGAGGCGUGGCUUCCGGAGCUAACGCGUUAAGUCGACCGCCUGGGGAGUACGGCCGCAAGGUUAAAACUCAAAUGAAUUGACGGGGGCCCGCACAAGCGGUGGAGCAUGUGGUUUAAUUCGAUGCAACGCGAAGAACCUUACCUACUCUUGACAUCCAGAGAACUUUCCAGAGAUGGAUUGGUGCCUUCGGGAACUCUGAGACAGGUGCUGCAUGGCUGUCGUCAGCUCGUGUUGUGAAAUGCUGGGUUAAGUCCCGCAACGAGCGCAACCCUUAUCCUUUGUUGCCAGCGGUCCGGCCGGGAACUCAAAGGAGACUGCCAGUGAUAAACUGGAGGAAGGUGGGGAUGACGUCAAGUCAUCAUGGCCCUUACGAGUAGGGCUACACACGUGCUACAAUGGCGCAUACAAAGAGAAGCGACCUCGCGAGAGCAAGCGGACCUCAUAAAGUGCGUCGUAGUCCGGAUUGGAGUCUGCAACUCGACUCCAUGAAGUCGGAAUCGCUAGUAAUCGUAGAUCAGAAUGCUACGGUGAAUACGUUCCCGGGCCUUGUACACACCGCCCGUCACACCAUGGGAGUGGGUUGCAAAAGAAGUAGGUAGCUUAACCUUCGGGAGGGCGCUUACCACUUUGUGAUUCAUGACUGGGGUGAAGUCGUAACAAGGUAUC